GGGGGUGUAGCUCAGUGGUAGAGCAGCGGCCUCUUAAGCCGUUUGUCGUGAGUUCGAAUCUCACCACCCUCACCA
rnacentral:tRNA from 1 species